rnacentral:rRNA from 1 species
UACGAAGGGGGCUAGCGUUGCUCGGAAUUACUGGGCGUAAAGCGUGCGCAGGCGGUGAUGUAAGACAGUUGUGAAAUCCCCGGGCUCAACCUGGGAACUGCAUCUGUGACUGCAUCGCUGGAGUACGGCAGAGGGGGAUGGAAUUCCGCGUGUAGCAGUGAAAUGCGUAGAUAUGCGGAGGAACACCGAUGGCGAAGGCAAUCCCCUGGGCCUGUACUGACGCUCAUGCACGAAAGCGUGGGGAGCAAACAGG